rnacentral:rRNA from 1 species
AAUCCAUAGGUUAAUGAGGCGAACCGGGGGAACUGAAACAUCUAAGUACCCCGAGGAAAAGAAAUCAACCGAGAUUCCCCCAGUAGCGGCGAGCGAACGGGGAGGAGCCCAGAGCCUGAAUCAGCAUGUGUGUUAGUGGAAGCGUCUGGAAAGGCGCGCGAUACAGGGUGACAGCCCCGUACACAAAAGCGCAUGUGCUGUGAGCUCGAUGAGUAGGGCGGGACACGUGGUAUCCUGUCUGAAUAUGGGGGGACCAUCCUCCAAGGCUAAAUACUCCUGACUGACCGAUAGUGAACCAGUACCGUGAGGGAAAGGCGAAAAGAACCCCGGCGAGGGGAGUGAAAAAGAACCUGAAACCGUGUACGUACAAGCAGUGGGAGCACAGGUUUACCUGUGUGACUGCGUACCUUUUGUAUAAUGGGUCAGCGACUUAUAUUCUGUAGCAAGGUUAACCGAAUAGGGGAGCCGGAGGGAAACCGAGUCUUAAUUGGGCGUUAAGUUGCAGGGUAUAGACCCGAAACCCGGUGAUCUAGCCAUGGGCAGGUUGAAGGUUGGGUAACACUAACUGGAGGACCGAACCGACUAAUGUUGAAAAAUUAGCGGAUGACCUGUGGCUGGGGGUGAAAGGCCAAUCAAACCGGGAGAUAGCUGGUUCUCCCCGAAAGCUAUUUAGGUAGCGCCUCGUGAAUUCAUCUCCGGGGGUAGAGCACUGUUUCGGCUAGGGGGCCAUCCCGGCUUACCAACCCGAUGCAAACUGCGAAUACCGGAGAAUGUUAUCACGGGAGACACACGGCGGGUGCUAACGUCCGUCGUGAAGAGGGAAACAACCCAGACCGCCAGCUAAGGUCCCAAAGUCAUGGUUAAGUGGGAAACGAUGUGGGAAGGCCCAGACAGCCAGGAUGUUGGCUUAGAAGCAGCCAUCAUUUAAAGAAAGCGUAAUAGCUCACUGGUCGAGUCGGCCUGCGCGGAAGAUGUAACGGGGCUAAACCAUGCACCGAAGCUGCGGCAGCGAACGUAUCACUUAAAGCGAUUCAGCGGGUUACGAUUGACGGAGCGAAGCGACGUCAAAGCGUAUACAAAGUCGAGUCGGUUUAAGGAUACGUUCGUUGGGUAGGGGAGCGUUC